rnacentral:rRNA from 1 species
GAUGAACGCUGGCGGCGUGCCUAAUACAUGCAAGUCGAGCGAAUGAUGAGGAGCUUGCUCCUCUGAUUUAGCGGCGGACGGGUGAGUAACACGUGGGUAAUCUGCCUGUAAGACGGGGAUAACUCCGGGAAACCGGGGCUAAUACCGGAUAACAAGAGAAGAAGCAUUUCUUCUUUUUGAAAGUCGGUUUUGGCUGACACUUACAGAUGAGCCCGCGGCGCAUUAGCUAGUUGGUGAGGUAACGGCUCACCAAGGCGACGAUGCGUAGCCGACCUGAGAGGGUGAUCGGCCACACUGGGACUGAGACACGGCCCAGACUCCUACGGGAGGCAGCAGUAGGGAAUCUUCGGCAAUGGGCGAAAGCCUGACCGAGCAACGCCGCGUGAGCGAUGAAGGCCUUCGGGUCGUAAAGCUCUGUUGUUAGAGAAGAACAAGUACGAGAGUAACUGCUCGUACCUUGACGGUACCUAACCAGAAAGCCACGGCUAACUACGUGCCAGCCGCCGCGGUAAUAC